rnacentral:rRNA from 1 species
UAGGGAAUCUUCGGCAAUGGACGAAAGUCUGACCGAGCAACGCCGCGUGAGUGAAGAAGGUUUUCGGAUCGUAAAACUCUGUUGGUAGAGAAGAACGUUGGUGCGAGUGGAAAGCUCAUCAAGUGACGGUAACUACCCAGAAAGGGACGGCUAACUACGUGCCAG